CACCAGGUUGAUUCUGCCUGACGUAGAUGCUAGUCUCUGAGAUUAAGCCAUGCAUGUCAGUGAAGCCUUACGGUGGAACGGCGAACGGCUCAGUAAUGUUGCGGUAAUUUGGUCUCUGUGUGUAAACUAACCACGGUAACCUGUGGCUAAAAGCGGAGAAUAAGGCGCAACCCUAUCAGCUUGUUGGUAGUGUAAAGGACUACCAAGGCCAUGACGGGUAACGGGAAAUCAGGGUUUGAUUCCGGAGAGGGAGCCUGAGAGAUGGC
rnacentral:rRNA from 2 species